AAUGGGGGAAACCCUGAUCCAGCCAUCCCGCGUGAGUGAAGAAGGCCUUCGGGUUGUAAAGCUCUUUCGAAAGUGAAGAAAACUUAUUUCGUAAUAUGUUAUAAGUAUGACGGUAACUUUAGAAGAAGCACCGGCUAACUACGUGCCAGCAGCCGCGGUAAUACGUAGGGUGCGAGCGUUAAUCGGAAUUACUGGGCGUAAAGCGUGCGCAGGCGGUUUUGUAAGUCAGAUGUGAAAUCCCCGAGCUUAACUUGGGAACUGCGUUUGAAACUACAAGACUAGAGUGUGUCAGAGGGGGGUAGAAUUCCACGUGUAGCAGUGAAAUGCGUAGAGAUGUGGAGGAAUACCAAUGGCGAAGGCAGCCCCCUGGGAUAACACUGACGCUCAUGCACGAAAGCGUGGGGAGCGAACAGGAUU
rnacentral:rRNA from 1 species